AUGCUAAAGCAGACAGACGAUCGGAGCAACAGUCAGUGUCCACUCUGACUGAGGUGGAGCAGUGUACUGCACUCGCCUCGCCACAGCAUGGGUUUACUCAGGUUCAUCAUUUUGCAGAGUAUCCUUAUAUUUGCAGUCAUGCUGCUAAAUGUUGUCAAUUCAGAAGUAGCAGUUAUUAAAAUUCGAGAGAGAGUGAAGAUCCAGAGAGGGCACCAUCGAUAGUGAAGCUCCAUGACUUUCACAGCUGUGGUAUCGUGCCUGUUGCAAAGAUGGCUCCCUAACCUGUCUAAUUCCUACGGAAUUUUCAACUAAUCGAACUGAAGCUUCCAAUAAUAUUGACAAUGUGACACAUGUGAAGUGAUAAGGAAAAUAUGGAGGUAGUUUAGGAUGUGUGAACAUUCACUCAGAGGCUACUGUGUAGCCUACCGACCUUGCAUUCCAGUUGCUUACGGCUCUAAGCAGAUCUCAAUAAACGUUCGUAUGUGAAAUAUAUGCGGUAUAGUUUCCCGUGUUCCUAUUGCAGGACAGUAUUCCUUUUAGUUUAGCGAUAUGGAGAAAUAUAACUAGUCAACCAAACAACUCUUAUCACUCACUCAUGGAGUUGAGCCCUUCUUGAGGAGCUACCAAUUGUGCAGCUUCUCAAGAAAUUUCCGGC